rnacentral:rRNA from 1 species
GAUGAACGCUAGCUACAGGCUUAACACAUGCAAGUCGAGGGGAAACGACAUCGUAAGCUUGCUUUUGAUGGGCGUCGACCGGCGCACGGGUGAGUAACCCGUAUCCAACCUGCCCAUCACUUGGGAAUAACCUUGCGAAAGUAAGACUAAUACCCAAUGACAUCCCACGAAGACAUCUGAAUGGGAUUAAAGAUUUAUCGGUAAUGGAUGGGGAUGCGUCUGAUUAGGUUGUUGGCGGGGUCACGGCCCACCAAGGCAACGAUCAGUAGGGGUUCUGAGAGGAAGGUCACUGGAAUUGGGACUGGGACCAGGUCCAAACGCCUACGGGAGGCAGGAGUGAGGGGAAUUGGUGAAAGGGCGUGAGCCAGAAACAGCGAAGUAGCGAGGAGGAUGUUGGGACUAUGAGUUGUAAAAUGCUUUUAUAAAGGAAUAAAAGGGGUUACGUGAGAGUUUUGGCAUGAACAAUAAGAAUAAGGACCGGCUAAUUCCGU